CGGGAGCGGCGGGAAGAGCCCUCCGGGCGGAAACAGAGACCCUUGACUUUGGAUUUGUCUCUUGCGGCGGUGGGAAAGCUUCCGCUAGCUCCGGGAUGAAGCGACACUAAUCCUGCGUCCCCAGACAGCAUCCCUUUCCUAGUCAAGUUGUUAUUCAGGUCUCUGUAUGGGGAACAGCCACAGAUCACAAGGGUGGAAUGAAGAUGGCUAAUUGGGAGUGUGGACUGAAAAACCUAAAAGUUGCUGAGGACUUAAGCCUGGAGACAGCCUCUCACGUAACUCUGAGGGAUUUCUCCAAAGAGAGGGCCCACGACGCUCCCCUGCUUCCAAAGGCUUGAAGGAGGAAAACAAGGAACAUAGGAGACGGUCUGUGAAGAAAAGCAGAUGAACAAAGCACUUGCAGUUCAGAUGAGAAGCCUCCAACGUGAGUGAGCACGUCUGCAGCCUGAAAUCCCACAGCUGGGCGGUGAGCUGCCGGAGCUGCUACUGAGACCUCACAUCCUGCCUGCACCGCACCAAGAGCAAGUGCUGGAACUUCGCAGAAAGGUCGCGGGGGGGGGGGAUUUACCGCGCGGAGGUAGAGAAGAAGCUCCCCAACGUACGUGGAAAUAUCAGCCUCACGGUCACUGGAGUGACCUCCUGCAGGAGGAGACGGGAGAGGCGACCAGAAAGAACAAGCUCCUUCCCUCCAGCAGAAACAUCUCACCUCUUCUGAGAAGGAAGCUGGAGAAGAGUGGGCGCCAGCUCUUCCCACUGGGGGGAAGCCCAGCUAGUGAGAAGCGGGGGGGACGCGGACACCAGUCGUGGAGGCAGAGGCCCGGGACCGUGGGUCAGCAGGUCCCCAGGGCAGGAGGCCGCUGAGGCUCCAGGACUGAGGGACCCGGCUCACUUGUGGGGGUGAUGCCACAUUCGCAGCAGCAGCCCCGCGGGCCCAGAGACCUUUACCCGUUUCCUCUCCUAAAAGCAAU